CUCUGCUCUGCCCCAGGCUGUGCUGCUGGCAUGUUGCAGGACACGGAGCUGUGCUGGAGAGCCUGAGCUGCCCCAGUGAGCGUACCAAAGGCUGCUGAAGGAAGGAAGUGGAAUUCUGGGCAGUUUGGAGAUGUUGAGGAGAACCUUGCAAUGCUCAGCAAUUCCUGAGCAGCCUGCUGUAAAACUUGUAGCCAGUUCAACUUUCAGCAGGAGUCAGAAGAGGUUUGUGGAGUUUGGCAAUAGUUUUGUUCCUGAGGAAGGCUGGAGAAAGAAAACUCAAAAUCACCGCUAUGAACAGCUCUUUAAAAAUGAAUGGCUAACUGAAGGAAGUCUUGCGCACUUGCAGUGCCGUGACGUUCUGCCAUCCGAAGGGGAAUUAAUCGCUGAGCAGCAUGAAGAUUGCACAGCACAGACAACAGGCAUGGUCCAGGCCUCAAGGGACUAAUUAUGUUCUUAAAGGGCUGCCCAUCCUGCUUCCCAGCAAGACCUCAGCUGUGAGUGUACCAGGAAAGCAAAUAAGAAAGGUCUUCACAAAAAAGCUCUAAGAAUGUAAAACUGGUACCUGGAGAUACAGGGGGGAUUCUGCCUGUUCACAACAUAUCUGACAGCGUAAACUGCCCAAAGAAGGCUUUUUUGAUUCACAGAACAGCUACAUCUGAGGAACUGCUGUCAGAGUCACAGGAGUCAACUCCCUUUGCAUAAAUGUGUGCCAACAAAGAAGGAAAAGAAAAAAACAACCCGACAAAUUAGUUGGAUGGUGCAAGAAACCAGUUAGAAAGCAGCUCCUGGAGGCAGAGUGGUGCAAGGUGAGCAACUGAGAUGAGUAAACCCCAUCUUAAAACAACCCAACAAAUAAUCCUUAUGGCCUCAAGGCUCCAAACCCCAGUGCUCACGCUGUCCCAAAUGAAAGUGGUUACAGCUGCUGGAGGAUACGAGGCACAGCUGGUAACACCUUAAGCUAAGUUGGUCCCUUUUCUGUGGUGCGUGUAUUCAAGCUAAUGGCAAGACAUCUGUAUUCUUCCUCCUUUUCACAACAGUUUGUUUUCCAAAAUAUCCCACGCGGUCUCCCUCACAGCACCCAACUGAGAGUUUCUGGGGAACUGCUUGGAAGCUUCCAGUGAGCCUCGAUGUUGCACUAGGACUGCUAGAUUGAAUUCCUGAACUUGCUGAGUGACAGAAACUGCUCUGGAGAAGUCAACGAGAGCAAAUGAAAAUGCAGCAUCACAACACUGAAUUAAGAGUGAAGGAAAACACUGUCGAUAAAAUGCCAGAUAGACUGUAGAUGUUCAAGGUUGAUGGACCAGAGCCUCUUGCAUCCAUACCUGUGACAGAUGAAAAAGGAGCUGCAUUCAGUCAGAAGCCUCAAGCAAGAGCAGUGUCAGCUUCUCUUCUGGUCUUAGAUCCAGUGCACACUCCUGGCAGAGUUCUACAAACUUGACAAGCAGAGAAACCUGAGAAUGUUGUGGGAGACAAAGUACGCAGUUUGGAACUGUAUGCUGGAUUCCUUUUGUUUGGCCACCUCCUGUGAAACCAGACACCAACUUUGACUUCAUAUGGUGAAAAUGGCAAGAUGCUUUCAUUCCUGAAGACAUAUCUGGGCGUGUCAGGAGAGGUGACUACAGUCUGUAUCCACGUUGUGGUGCCAAAGGGGCGAAAAGCGACGACGUAUCCAAAUCCUUCUCCAUUUUGCAACUCCUCAGGGAUGGGCUGUGAGAAAAGCAAUCAGUGACAGAAGCCCAUGAUGUUACAUACCACACUGGAAAAGCUUUGAAGGAAGAAAGCAUCACUGUGAUGUAAUGCAUGCGACUGUAAACUGGUUCUGGUCUGCAUUUGGGAUUGCUGCAUCAACAAAUAAAGUCUGGUGCAGUAGAGUGUAAUGCUUUCAUUUGAAACUAUCUGCACAUCAAGAAAAGAGCAACUCCCCCAAACAUUUCUUGUUCUCCAAUGUAAUCAUCAACAAUGAAAGCUAUAGUUCAUGCUUAGCUCCGCAAGCAAUCCUGCUCAGGAAAAAAAAGGAAAUAAAGAAAUAACCCUGCAUUAUAUAAUUUGAAUUCCUGUGUGUCUCCAGGACAAAGCCCUUCAAACACUUUGGCAGCAGAUGCCCAUUUGCCAGGAAGGAUGCUGGACCAUGAAGUCACCAUUUAGCAGACACAACAACAACAUCACAGCUGUCAGUACUGAACUCCACUCAUCAGUGGCUUGAAGGACUGUCAUAAGAAAAGAUAUUAUGCCAUGAUUUAUUAUAUUCUUCAGUUUUUAUUUUUUUUUCUGUGAAGAAGCAAGUUUCAUCCAAAACCGAGCCUAACUUCAAUGCAGAAUCACGUAAUUCAAGUCAUAGAUGAACAGGUUUUGUAAUCUGCACCAUAAACUGUUUCUGCAAUCUACAGCACACAACAGUAAGAAAACACAAUUCAUGGUAACUGAAGCUGAAAUUUACCUCGUACUAUAAGGUCAGCUGCAGAUGCCACACUGUCUACUUCUGUCUUCACCAUACAAACGUAUUUUCCACUGUGUUUCAGCUGGAUGUUUCUAAUCAUCAAAUCUCCUGAUGCACUCUGUCAAAAUACAAAGUUGUUAAAUGAAUUAGCAUAUUAUUUAAUAUUCAGCUCACGUUUUGGAAGCGGAGAAAUUAUCACCUUGAAUAUAUAAAGUUUAAGAUAAACUAGAUAAAUAAACUUCAUAUUAAAGUUGUCCCAAAAUUAAAGAGGCAGUGCAGCAGGUUAUUACCCAGCAGCUGCUCCGUGCUACAUGGCUAUAAGCACUCUCCUAGCAGACAGGAGUUAGUGCCUGUACCUGCAUGAGAAGCAAGCUGCAGCACAGGUGCCCAGCACUGGGAACACACCUGCAGACAGCUGUUAAGAACCACGAAGAAAGUCAGCACCCUGUGACCAACUGCUUGCCUCCAAGCCACAAGAAAGAUGUGAUUUCUACAGCCACCACCCAAUCUGACUUCUAGACAGAAUUCAUAAGUCUAGUUAGCAAAGACAUUCAAGGAGUUAAAACAGGUAAGCAACAAAGCUGAACCUGGUCUGUUCCGAAGGGUUAAGGAUAGAAUUCAGAUAGGUACAGUAUGAGUCCCUGGGUCAGUGUGCUGCUGAGGGCCCCUCACUGAGCACCUCGUAUCCCUGGCAGUUUGUCUGGGAUUUCCUUCUGCCAAGUUCCUUUGCACUGUGAGCACACUUGGAUUUAAGCAUUAUACCUCUGCAGCUCUUUGGCCGACUGCCCUGAUUUUAAGGUCCUACUUCUUUCUUUUUCAUUAUGCAUUCAAACGUUGGUCAUUUCUUUUCCUUUGUCCUCUCUCACGUUACAGCGUGUGGUUGAUCAGAAUCAAAGAAAGCAUGCAAAAAGCUUGAGUGAGUGAUAGCUGUAACUUUGCACUCUUACAGACUCGGCAUUAUUAGUUUUCUACAUUACUGAAAUAGAGCACUCAAUCCUAAACUUCUGCGAGCCAGUUUGCUUCAAAACCUCCCCAUGUGCCAGCUGAAUGACUGCCUCAGCCCUGUUCACAUCAAAGCUUCCAGGUGAAAAAUCUGUCAGAUUUCAAUUUUUUCCCCCUCUUUCUAAUUUUCUGGAGCAGCGGUUUCAGUUGAGGACAGAACCAUACAUACUUUGCAGGUAUUCACAGUGCUCCAACCACGACUGAUUCUUGAGAACUCAGUGAUUUGGGAGAAAGGGAAGACAUGAUUGCUGUGAUCUCCGAAAAACAGAAGUUAACAAUCUUCCCAACCCUCUGCCUUUAGCAGUUAAUUAUUUUUUAUGCUCACACAAACUGUUUCCGCUUGGAUCCUUACAUUUCUAGAAUGAUUUGUUUUCAUGAAGACUGCCGUCAUCUCAGAUAAAUCUCUAACUAUAUGCAAAUCAGCUGUGCCAUUUUGUCACAAGUAUUUCUUUUUGAGCUUGAGUUUCAUUCACUCAUGUCAACACCUGCAAUUAAUGUGUAAGAUGAGCAUUACGAAGUCUCACGUAGAAGUUGAAAAAACUUUGCCUGCUUCCCUUCCAAGUGUGAUAAUAAAAAUAAAAUGCCAGGUCUUCUUUAAAAACAAGGAUGUAAACAUUUAGAGGACAAUCCAGCACUGGUUGCCUCCAGUACCCUAAAAGUUAAGAUGAAGGCAAUCUAAAAUCCAUCUAACUUGAUUGGAAGUGGAUAUUCAGGAAACGACCAGCAACAACAACAGAUGCACACAAAGCAAAUCAUGUUCUACAUGAACUAAUUGUAGCAAACUACAUUUAAAUAAACCAUCUAAGCAGAGGGACCAUCAAAUAGAAUAAUUUUACUGAAACAUAAAGCUCUGAAACAUUAACACCAAAUUUAAACUAUUUGUGGGUGCUUUGCAGGAGCAUCCUGAAGAUUUAAAGGAAAUCUGUUUUGAACUCUGAAAUCUGCUUGGUUUGCCUAUAAAUCAUUUAUCUGACAAAAAAGUACAGUACAACAGUGAUACAUCCUAUAUUUUUCUAACCAUCUGGAAGACCAGGACAUGGUGCCAUAACAUUCCCACUAACCACUACAUGUCAUGGAUCUCAAGCAUGCAUGGCAGGGACUGCCAAAAUAUCAUUACACAGAUCUCCAUCCACUAAAAAAUCAUUUCCUUUUGCUAUGUUUAUCAACAAAGCUGAAGUUAUGCACAGAUAGUUCCAUUGAACAAAUAUGCACUGGAAGGCUUCUUACUGGGAUUAAAUUAUUCCAUCAACCUUAGUGGGAUCUAGACAAGCUCACAUAAUAGUUCUCUGUUUCUCCUAGUUACCCAUGGAGUUUUUCCAUCAAGGAGGUUCAAUCCCCUUUUCCAAUCAAGUAAGACUUUAAAAAAAGUCACCUAAACCUCAGUAUUCCAUAACUACCCCUGGUUCUAUGCCAUACAACAAACUCCCAGGUAAGAUGUUCUAGAGUCAGAAGUCUGAGUUACUCGAUACUCUGAAAUUUCUUUCACAACUGGUUGGGAAGUUUCCAUGAAAUCCUAUUUUUUUUAAGCUCUUUGUUUUGUUUUGUUUUGUUUUGCUUUGUUGUUUUUGUUUUUUCUUUUUCAUGUGGGGAAAACAGAAGUAUGGCCUCCCUCUGUCACAGAAUCACAGAAUGGCCAGGGUUGGAAGGGACCUCCAGGACCUCCCCUGUCACCAGGGGAGACAUAAAGAGAGAAGUGAGGGAAACACCAGGGGUACAAGAGCAGGAAAAAAUAAGAUAGAUUUUUGUUUUGUUUUGUUUGCUUUUAGGCUGGAGCUCUCAAAGUCUGAAACAAGUUCCUCAAUCUGUCAUUGCUAUGUUUCGUUUCCAAGGAAAAUCAUGUAUGGCCAGGUGCAGAGACAGAGGUAGGCACUUAGAAAACUUCAGGUCUAAAAUUUGAGAUGUCUGCAUACCAGAUCAUGUGCUGCAGGGUAGCUCAAUGAAUGACUUCUCUGCAGCAAAGACCAGAUUCCAUACACCCAAAAGAGAAGAAAAAACCUUCACAGUGUUGGAAAGAGUAAGCGAGCCUGUCUGUAAGAGAAGCGUUCACAACUUACCCCUCCAACCUUCUCAAAAUGAGAGGCAUCUUUUUUGAAGUCGGUGAGUGUCCCAUUGAAAUACCAUGUGAAGCUGAUGUCCAGUAUAGGAUCGUGCUGAACCUGGCAAGGCAAGAUGACGCUUUCUCCAACAGUGACAUCCAUGUUUGAAGGUGCCAAAGUGAUCCUUGUUGGCUCUGAGAGCAGAAAAAUCAGUUAUUGGAUUUCUGUAGUACUACGACUUGUCUGCCACUAAUGUUCUACCAUGUUCUACAAAUCUGAUUAAUGACAGUCACUUCAAAUUAUACAGCUGGACUAUAAAUGCUACCGACUGACCUCCCUUGUUGGAGCACUGUACUGUUGCACAUUUACCAGUGGGAGUUUGUUGAAACUGAAAAAGUAGCUUUUUACCUACUGUGUACAGACCAAUAUACCUCACCAAGCUAAAUGCACUGCAACCCACAGCAAUGAAAUUACCAUUCAGAAGCAUGUGUGGUUCUCAGCAAUAACCCAUAUGAUUUGGAGCAGUGUGCUGUGGUAGCAGCCAUGGGGAAGAUUAAAAGGUGGGAGUGGAAGCAGGAGACAACAAAACCUGGAAACCAGAGGAAAUCUAUAUAGGGUAGGACAUGUUGGGUAUCUGGGUCUGUAUAUCAUAUAAAACAUAAAUAGUGCCAUUAAGAAAAGCAGCUUACAAUUCCUGAAUCACAUGAACAGAACAAAUAUCAUAUACCAUAAAUACUGGAAAAAUUAAAUUUCCUUCUAUAAAUCCUCUGUACAUAAUUCUGUUAUUUGUGCAUAAAAGGGCAUGAAUCAUUUAGAAACAGACUGAAAAUCUGUAGCUGUUUCUUCACUGAACAGAAUAAUUCUGUUUGGAUCUAUGAGAUGUAUGGGAUAUGCAAUGCAGUAGGAUAUUAGAUAAUUCUGCAUUUGGAAAAUCUUUUAGUUAUUCCCAUCUUUAAAAAAGAACAUCAUGAGAAAAGACAGUCUUCAGUUAGACUUCACAAAGCACUCCUCCCCAGUCAGCAUCUUAGACAGCAGCUAGCAAUGGGCAUCUCAGUGGAAGGGGCAAGAACUCUUUUAACAGCAAUUAUGUACACGAUUAGCUUUUGAAAGACUUUAUACUUUACUGCCUGUAGGGUCCCUGAGCACUCCUGCAGCUGGAGCUUCUUCCACAUCUUUUUCCAUGAGCAAAUAAGUGUAUAGUUCCUUAGGGCUAAAGAGAUUUUUGGACUGGAAUGUAUAAUGACCUCUAAUAUUUUUGGUUGGCAUGAAUUUC